UACGUAGGUGGCAAGCGUUGUCCGGAAUUAUUGGGCGUAAAGCGUGCGCAGGCGGUUCGCUGUGUCCUGUGUGAAAGCCCCGGGCUUAACCUGGGAAUGGCAUGGGAAACUGGCGAGCUUGAGUGCGGCAGAGGGGGGUGGAAUUCCGCGUGUAGCAGUGAAAUGCGUAGAGAUGCGGAGGAACACCGAUGGCGAAGGCAGCCCCCUGGGUCGACACUGACGCUCAGGCACGAAAGCGUGGGGAGCAACAGG
rnacentral:rRNA from 1 species